rnacentral:rRNA from 1 species
CCUACGGGAGGCAGCAGUGGGGAAUAUUGGACAAUGGGGGCAACCCUGAUCCAGCCAUGCCGCGUGUGUGAAGAAGGCCCUCGGGUUGUAAAGCACUUUCAGUGAGGAAGAACACCUGGUGGUUAAUACCCAUCAGGAAAGACAUCACUCACAGAAGAAGCACCGGCUAACUCCGUGCCAGCAGCCGCGGUAAUACGGAGGGUGCGAGCGUUAAUCGGAAUUACUGGGCGUAAAGCGCGCGUAGGUGGCUUGAUAAGCCGGUUGUGAAAGCCCCGGGCUCAACCUGGGAACGGCAUCCGGAACUGUCAAGCUAGAGUGCAGGAGAGGAAGGUAGAAUUCCCGGUGUAGCGGUGAAAUGCGUAGAGAUCGGGAGGAAUACCAGUGGCGAAGGCGGCCUUCUGGACUGACACUGACACUGAGGUGCGAAAGCGUGGGUAGCAAACAGGAUUAGAUACCCCGGUAGUC